CCUACGGGUGGCAGCAGUGAGGAAUAUUGGUCAAUGGGCGGGAGCCUGAACCAGCCAAGUCGCGUGAGGGAAGAAGGUCCUCUGGAUUGUAAACCUCUUUAGGCGGGGAGCAAUGCCGGGCACGCGUGCACGGAGGGAGAGUACCCGCAGAAUAAGCAUCGGCUAACUCCGUGCCAGCAGCCGCGGUAAUACGGAGGAUGCGAGCGUUAUCCGGAUUUAUGGGGUUUAAAGGGUGCGUAGGCGGAUUUUUAAGUCAGCGGUAAAAUGUCCGGGCUCAACCCGGGCCGGCCGUUGAAACUGGGGAUCUUGAGUGGGCGAGAAGUAAGCGGAAUGCGUGGUGUAGCGGUGAAAUGCAUAGAGAUCACGAAGAACUCCGAUUGCGAAGGCAGCAUACCGGCGCCCGACUGACGCUGAGGCACGAAAGCGUGGGGAGCGAACAGGAUUAGAUACCCGGGUAGUC
rnacentral:rRNA from 1 species